AUUGAACGCUAGCGGGAUGCCUUACACAUGCAAGUCGAACGGAGUGGCGAACGGGUGAGUAAUGUAUCGGAACGUGCCCAGUAGCGGGGGAUAACUACGCGAAAGCGUAGCUAAUACCGCAUACUAUUGGAGCGGCCGAUAUCGGAUUAGCUAGGUGGUGGGGUAACGGCUCACCAGGGCGACGAUCCUUAGCUGGUGUGAGAGGCCGACCAGCCACACGGGGACUGGGACACGGCCCAGACUCCUACGGAGGGCGGCAGUGGGGAAUUUUGGAAAAUGGGGGAAACCCGGAUCCAGCCAUCCCGCGUGGGCGAGGAAGGCCUUCGGGUUGUAAAGCACUUUUGGCAGGAAGGCGGUACCUGCAGAAUAAGCAUCGGCUAACUACGUGCCAGCAGCCGCGGUAAUAC
rnacentral:rRNA from 1 species